rnacentral:rRNA from 1 species
GGACGGGUGAGUAACACGUGGAUAACCUACCUAUAAGACUGGGAUAACUUCGGGAAACCGGAGCUAAUACCGGAUAACAUAUUGAACCGCAUGGUUCAAUAGUGAAAGGCGGCUUUGCUGUCACUUAUAGAUGGAUCCGCGCCGUAUUAGCUAGUUGGUAAGGUAACGGCUUACCAAGGCAACGAUACGUAGCCGACCUGAGAGGGUGAUCGGCCACACUGGAACUGAGACACGGUCCAGACUCCUACGGGAGGCAGCAGUAGGGAAUCUUCCGCAAUGGGCGAAAGCCUGACGGAGCAACGCCGCGUGAGUGAUGAAGGUCUUCGGAUCGUAAAACUCUGUUAUCAGGGAAGAACAAAUGUGUAAGUAACUGUGCACAUCUUGACGGUACCUGAUCAGAAAGCCACGGCUAACUACGUGCCAGCAGCCGCGGUAAUACGUAGGUGGCAAGCGUUAUCCGGAAUUAUUGGGCGUAAAGCGCGCGUAGGCGGUUUUUUAAGUCUGAUGUGAAAGCCCACGGCUCAACCGUGGAGGGUCAUUGGAAACUGGAAAACUUGAGUGCAGAAGAGGAAAGUGGAAUUCCAUGUGUAGCGGUGAAAUGCGCAGAGAUAUGGAGGAACACCAGUGGCGAAGGCGACUUUCUGGUCUGUAACUGACGCUGAUGUGCGAAAGCGUGGGGAUCAAACAGGAUUAGAUACCCUGGUAGUCCACGCCGUAAACGAUGAGUGCUAAGUGUUAGGGGGUUUCCG